rnacentral:lncRNA from 1 species
AAAUGUCAAUUUGUAGAUCUAACUAAGUGUAACAAGAAAGGAUUGCAACUAGAUAAUACGGACGUCUGCUUGGUGGUGCAUUACACAUGCGCGCAUUAUGAUAUCAUUCACAUGCAUAUAACCCUGCUUGGAGAAGGUGAGGAUAACAUGUAACAAAUAAACACUUCAACGAUCCUUAGCUCAAUGUUCCAGAUUUCCAGAUAAAAGGACCACAACUCGAUGAAGAGGGAAAGGUGCCCCUCAAAUUAUUGGAGACAUUUUUAGUCGUUUUUACAUAUAGUGUUGAAAUUUACCAUAACAUACCAACACGAUCUGUUUAAUUGAAAGAUGAUGCACAACUUAAACAGACAUGUCAGAUAAAAAGAUAGUAAUUUUUAAAGAUUUUUUUACUCUGACAUUAGUUUUGUCUAAUUUUUAAAAUAACGUGAUAAAAAGAUUAAAGAAAUGAAAACUUACGACACGAUUUGAGUUUAGAUAACUUGUUAUAAUUGCAUUAAAUUGUCAUGAAAAAUAAACCUUACACAAUGCCUAGUCAAUUUCGUAUAUUAAAUAUAAAUUUUCUAGUUGUUCAGAUUGAAAAAAUUAUGGAAAAACUGUCAUCGAUAUGAUAAAUUACACGCGAGACAGACAGAAAAUAAAAUGUAAUUUAGUUAUAUUUGGAUUAUCCUCGUUUAAGUGAAUUUGACGGAUUGUAGAAAGUCUGUCAUUAUUAUACCAGUCACAAUUUGACAAUAUAAGCAUGUGUUAUUGCGGGUAUAGAGAUAUUAUCAUACAAUGUUCGUAUUAAGUUUUAAAUUACCUAGUCUAGUAUUGACAUAAAAUAUUUGUAUUUAAGUGAGGUUUUACACGUUACAUUUUCAAUAACAGAUAAAUCACUAUUACUUAUUUCAUUUCUGAAUAUAUGCGAUGUCGUUAAGCUCUUUAGAAAUCCAAAUCUCUCUUUUAUCAUGUCUUCCAAUACACCGCGG